GCUGGCUUGUUCAAGGUCCGCUCGAGUUGCCGCAACACAUAUAUAUACACCUGUUCACCAGGUGUAUACGACAGUGUUGUCUGGAGACUUGUACUAGUCGCACUUCAGAUAUAAACUAUGGCGCUUUUGCGUUGUGUAGCUGUGUCGCUGGUGUUGCUGGUUGUGUUGCAGUUGGUCGUGGCUCAGUAUGCCUACGACCGCCGGUACGGGCACGUCUACGGUUAUGGCAACGACUAUGAUGGCUACCGCGUGCCCUAUGGUUAUGGCUACCAACGCAUCUACGAAUACAGGCCUCAUGAUCGACACGGGUUCUACCGCUACUGAAACCUACCGGUGAUCAUGUUUACAGUAAAUUAUGUAAAGUGAUAUAUGAAAGAAAAGUGAAUAAAAGUGACCCUAGUA